UACCAAGAGAAAAUACUCUGUUAACAGGGUAGUUGUAUGCAGCUGGUAAGAAAAAGUCUGGUGGCACCACUAAUAUUGAUUAGAUAUGAAUAUACUGCUAAAGCAAGUACUAAAUGAUGGUGCAGUACCAAAUGUGCAGUCAGAGGCAGGUGCAGACGCACCCAUGUAGGCGUGCCCACUAUAACAAGAUGACUUUCAUUUCUUUUAAGGUGAAACUUACUAUAUGUCGGAUCCCAGCUUCAGACAUUUUCCAUGUUAAAGGAUGUUCAUGUUCCUAAACAACAGCGCUUUUGCGAUCACACAGGAGCCUCCUCAUCCUGACCUAUGUACAGGGAGACACCUAGGGAGACAUAGGUCCAAUACAGAAGACAUCUCUGGUGCAAUGGGGAUGCUGAAGAUAAAAGGAAAUGAGUGACAGCCCCCCGAAGAACAGCAAUCCAAAGUUGCUAUAGGGUUCUUUCCUUUGGAUUGUCUCUUUGAGUAACAUCAUUGAACAUUUGUCUUUUGUGGCUAAGAUGCCUUUUCCAGUUUUGUGGAUAUAUCAGUUUUCAAGUGAGAUCUUUCAUCCCCACAUUACAAAAUUGCAGAAAAGAGGGCUCAAAGAGCCAUCCCAAAAGGUGUUUAGUGCUCCACCUGGCACUACAACACAAUGAGUAUCCUAGGUCAUUGCUGACACAAGCUUGUGCAACCUGCUCUUAAAAAACAGUGAAGGAGAUUCAACCACCCUGGGAAUCUUGCACUGGUGCUUAGCUAUCCUUAUAGCUAAGAAGUUCUUCCUUGUAUCAAACCUCAAUCUUUGCUGCAAAUUAGGGAGAUUUCUUCUUGUCCUGCCCCCAGUGGUCAUGGAGAACAAUUGGUCAUCAUCCUCUUCCCUUUCUCUUAACCGUUCCCGUUUUAGAAGACUGUUAUCAUGUAAUCUUAAUCUUCUCCCUUUAGAGACUAAAAAUAUCCAGUGCCUUCAACCUAUGUUCAAACCUUUCCUGAAAAAGGCCAUGUGCCAUUGAACUGCAGCACAAAGUACAUCCUUUUUCCAGUUAUGGAGGAAAGAAGGAGGUAGAGAUAGUGUUAAAGUAAUUUCCUGCCAUUCCAUGGAGCAAACAUUCCUAAAGGGAGACAUACAAGUAGGGAUGAUAUGAGCCAUAUAUGGUUGUCAUUGGGAAAGCCACCGCAAUGGAAUCUGCACACAUCAUUUCUGGUGAAGCAGAAAAUGAACAACGCGCUGUGCAACUCUCAGUUAUGGACUAUUAUGGCAAUAAUGUUGCUUGUAUGACAAAAAUGCACUUUUGGUAGAUUUGCCCAGCCAACGAGCAUUUGAUUGUAUUUCAGAGAACUUGAACUUUAUUUCUAUACCUUUGCAAAUAAUCAUCAAGGAGCUACCAAGUGAUUUAGCAAGUGUUGCUUGCUUUUAUGUCAGUUUGUACAUAGUUUAUACACAGAUUGUUACAUAACAGCUGAUUUUAUUUUUCAUACGGAUUGUCUUCUAAACAUAAAACAUAGAGGUGAUAUCGAUAUAAUAAGCUGCAGACGCCUGUGUCAAAUUGCUCAUGAUAAGUAAAUGUACUGCAUCCCUA